CCUACGGGAGGCUGCAGUGGGGAAUAUUGGACAAUGGGCGAAAGCCUGAUCCAGCCAUGCCGCGUGUGUGAAGAAGGCCUUCGGGUUGUAAAGCACUUUCAGUGGGGAAGAAAGCCUUGGGGCUAAUACCCUCGAGGAAGGACAUCACCCACAGAAGAAGCACCGGCUAACUCCGUGCCAGCAGCCGCGGUAAUACGGAGGGUGCGAGCGUUAAUCGGAAUUACUGGGCGUAAAGCGCGCGUAGGCGGUCUGAUAAGCCGGUUGUGAAAGCCCCGGGCUCAACCUGGGAAUGGCAUCCGGAACUGUCAGGCUAGAGUGCAGGAGAGGAAGGUAGAAUUCCCGGUGUAGCGGUGAAAUGCGUAGAGAUCGGGAGGAAUACCAGUGGCGAAGGCGGCCUUCUGGACUGACACUGACGCUGAGGUGCGAAAGCGUGGGUAGCAAACAGGAUUAGAUACCCGUGUAGUC
rnacentral:rRNA from 1 species